GAUGAACGCUGGCGGCGUGCCUAAUACAUGCAAGUCGAGCGAACAGACGAGGAGCUUGCUCCUCUGACGUUAGCGGCGGACGGGUGAGUAACACGUGGAUAACCUACCUAUAAGACUGGGAUAACUUCGGGAAACCGGAUCUAAUACCGGAUAAUAUAUUGAACCGCAUGGUUCAAUAGUGAAAGACGGUUUUGCUGUCACUUAUAGAUGGAUCCGCGCCGCAUUAGCUAGUUGGUAAGGUAACGGCUUACCAAGGCGACGAUGCGUAGCCGACCUGAGAGGGUGAUCGGCCACACUGGAACUGAGACACGGUCCAGGCUCCUACGGGAGGCAGCAGUAGGGAAUCUUACGCAAUGGGCGAAAGCCUGACGGAGCAACGGCGCGUGAGUGAUGAAGGUCUUCGGAUCGUAAAACUCUGUUAUUAGGGAAGAACAAAUGUGUAAGUAACUAUGCACGUCUUGACGGUACCUAAUCAGAAAGCCACGGCUAACUACGUG
rnacentral:rRNA from 1 species